rnacentral:rRNA from 1 species
AUGGCUGCGGCCGCCGAGGGGACGAGCAGGCGGAGGAUCCUCGACUACCUCAACGACGGCGAGGAGUUCGGGGUCGCGGGGCCCUCGUCCGCCGCCCCGGCGACGCCCAGGGCGCUGGCUGCGGCCAGGUCGCUGCUGCCCAGGUUCCGCUGGGCGCGGCUCGCCAGGCUCGGCGGCAAGGCCCGCGCCGGCGACGGCAAAGGGCGGCCGCCCACGGCGGUGGUCGAUGACGAGAUCGUCGCCGCGGAAGAGGAGGGCGAGCCGCGGGACGCCUCGGGUGCCUCUGCCUCAGCGGCGGCGGCCGGCGGCGGCGGCGAGACGACGAGGCCGUCGGGCCUGGGCGUCGGGCUGAGCCUGGUGUUCCUGCUGGCCAAGACGUCCGACGAGUUCAACAAGAUGGCCAGGGUGAGGGCCGAGAUGGAGGCGCUGAUCAGGGACUUCAAAGGCCAGCAGGCCAUGGCGACGGCCAACGCCCGCGGCGGCGACGACGACGCGUCGGGGGCCCUCAACCCCGAGUCCGCCGCGUCGAGCUGCCUCACGGACGGGAACGAACCGCAGGCCGCGACCGCCCGGUGCGAGGACCAUCGUCGCCGUCACCAUCGGCAUCAGGUCGCCUCGUCCUCCGGCGCGGAGAUGGAGGCGGCGAGCCGCAGGAGGAUGGACGUGCUGGAGGAGGAGUUCCACGCGGAGCUCGAGCGCGUUCGCGCCCGCUACGGCCAGGACACGCCGCCGUUUUCGACGGGAGAGGGGCGCGACGAGGGCGGAGCAGAGCCGUCGGACGACGACGAGGACGGCAUUGCCGACUGCCGGCAGGGAUUCGAGAGCGACCUCGGCGACGACGACGACGACGACCAUGGCAACAACAACGACGACGAGGAGGAGGAGGACGACGACGACGCUGAUCGGUACCACGGCGUCUCGGCCAUCGAGCUGGAGAGGAGGCUGCACGAGCUGCUCCACCAGAGGAACCAGGAGCGGAUCGAGGAGCUGGAGGCCGCGCUGCGGCGCGCCGAGAAGCGGCUCUUCGACAAGGAGAUGGAGGCGUCCCUCUGGAAGGACACCGCCAAGAUGGCCUUCCGCCACGACCACCACCACGGCCACGACGACGACGACGACUCGCCAUGA